AGUGAACGCUGGCGGUAGGCCUAACACAUGCAAGUCGAACGACAGCACAGUAAGUGGUUGCUCUUGCGGGUGUCGCGUGGCGGAAGGGGGCGUAAGACAUCGGAAUCCACUCUUUCGUGGGGGCUAACGUAGGGAAACGUAUGCGAAUACCGGAUACGACCUCCGUGUGUAGGCACGGGAUCUUCGGGCCUUGCGCGAGUGUAUGAGCCGAUGUCGGAUUAGCUCGUUGGCGGGGUAAAGGGGCACAAAGGCGACGAUCGGUAUGUGGUCUGAGAGGGAGGUUCGCCACCCUGGAACUGAGAAACAGCAGCGACUCCUAGGGGAGGCAGCAGUGGGGAAUAUUGGACGAUGGGGGCAAGCCUGAUCCAGCCAUACCGCGUAGGUGAAGAAGGACUUAGGGUUGGAAAGCCAUUAUGUUGGGAAAGAAAAGCAGCAGGUUAAUACCGCGCGGUACUGACGGUACCCAAAGAAUAAGCACCGGCUAACUUCGUG
rnacentral:rRNA from 1 species